GGAAACUUGAAAAUUACCGUUGGAUCGAAAAAUGGUCGUUCGAGAUUCGUCCACGUCAUCAUGAGUUAAAAUUUUACUCUGAGUGAAUCUGCGAGUAAAAUUUUUACCCGUGAUGAUGUGGACUAAUAUCAUACGUCUAUUUUUUUUAUUCAACGGUAGUUUCCAGGUUUAC
rnacentral:pre_miRNA from 1 species